GGACGGGGGUGUGGUCCCGGGCCCGAGGUUCGGCUCAGGAGCCCGGAUAGUCAGGGAUCCCCGUCCCCCGAGUGUGAGACAUUAACUGUCAAAUAAAAACCAGCGCGACGGAUACAGAAUGAGACGCGGAAGAAAAGCACACGGGUUCUGUUUUCGUACCUGUAAUGACACGUGUUUCCUGCUUUUGAACAAGAGGCCCCAUAAUUCUAUUUUGCAUCAUAACGGGUCCUGGACUCAAUAUCCCAGGAAGGAGCUGUGGUAAUGUUGAAAUUCACUUCAGGUGGAGACAACAUUGACGGCAUUCUCUCCAGCUCACUUUCCUGCUUCUUAAUGAACUCCCAGUUUCUUCUUAGAGCACAGCUGCCGGGAACUUACAGACUCACCGCUCAACAGCCAGGACCGAGGGAGGAAGGAAGCUCCAGUGUGCAUGAUGUUGGGACACAGUCUGAUUGCUGCAGCUUUGGUCCCCUGUGUCCCCUUGGACCGGUCUUGCCGAGUGAAGUGGCAAUUGCACACCUCCAGUCCUGAGGUCAUCUCCCUGUCAGCAGGAGAGAGCACUGGAGGAGGGGUAGAACCAACUAAGUUACAGGAAGUCACUGCGAGAUAAUUUACUGUUUUCUACUCUAAUUUGAUUUUCCUACAUUUAGUUAGUAUGACUCUUUCCUAGGGCUCUUUUAACUCUGAAUUAAUUUAUAUGAUUAGUUUUUUGAAAGUACAAAGUUUACAGCAGGGUGGCCACCUACUAUGACCUAACAAAAUGCUGACAUUUUCUGCAACCCAGCCAGAGGGAACUUCUGCAAGUCAAACUCUUUCUUAAAAACUUUAAACAUUCUUACAUUUAGAGUUCCUCUAAAAUUAUGUUUGGGAGAGCUCUCAGAUGUACAGAUUACUGUUCAUCCUUCCAUCUUUUAUUUCAUUUGUUCAUUCAACAUUGUUUUGACCAAGAACAAGUCUUGGAGCUGAAGCUUACUUGGAGGAGAAAAUUCUGUAAACUGGACUAAGAAGUCUGAGAUCAUGGCAUUAGCAUAUUUCGUGUCUGAUCUCACUCACGUUACUUGCCUGACCACAACCUCUGCUACAGAGAAAGGUAUGGACUGCAUGCCAUUCAGGCAAAUCUUAAUGUUCUAUUCAAUAUAACAUUAGAUAAUUAUUGUGUGAUAGAAG